CGGGGUUGGUCGGAGAACAGGCGAAGGUCGGUACACACGGGUUGUCGAUCAGGGAUACGGGAGUACUCGAACGGGACAUGAAGCUCAACGAACUGGCCCCGACCAGUCGUCAUCGGUGUCAUAUAAAUACACCGGAUAAUCAGCCUGCAUGAGGCGCAGGUGUGCGUCUCCCAAUCAGCGCAACCGUGGUGGGACCCGCACAGCCCGGGCUGAAGCGGCAGGAUCAUGUUACAAAUAUUUAAUACCAUACAGUACUGCAUUAGCUAUUGAAUGAUUCUGUUUUGGAUAGUGUAAUUUAGUUGUCUUCUAUCCAUUUUCAAAGCCACUUAUCCCAGUUAGGGUCAUAGGGCACUGGAGCCUAUUCCAGUGAAAGGCGGACUAUACCCUGAAGUGGUUGCCACUCAGUCGCAGGGCACGUCACCUGUCACUGAGUCGGAACUGAAACCAUCCUGCCUGCAGCAAAGUCCGGUUAUUCAUAUCAGCCACUCCUGGGUUCAGCAAGGAUGGGACAACGGGAACAAAGUCUUUGAUUUUUCCAUGAGAAGUCCAGUGAGGCUGGAUCAAUUUACUAAUCGAACGGCAUAAAAAGGGGUGGUUGAUGUCACAUGGCUGAAAGCCCUUUCCUGAGCAAACACUGGAACCAUUCUAACGCAAACUAAGGUGACCUACAUGGACUACUAUACAUCACAGGUGUCAAACUCUGGGCCCGGGGAGCAGUUGCGGCUCACCACAUUAUUUUAUGUGGCCUGCAAAUGUAGCUCAUAAUCAUCAAUAUCUAUGAUUUUUGCUAAAAUCUGUACCCAAAUUUCAGAUUGUCAUAAUAAUUAACAAUAUUGUUGUGAGGCCAAUAUGGUCUCUACAUGGGGUGUAGAAAUGCCCCUGAUUUAAAUUGCGCCAUGUGAUUGAGGAUCAGUGUCAGCUGCUUUAAAAACAACUUUUCUGGCUUCUCAAUACCCCCCCUCCUCACACACACACACCCACACCCACCCACCCACACACACACA